rnacentral:rRNA from 1 species
AGAGUUUGAUCAUGGCUCAGGAUGAACGCUAGCGGCAGGCCUAAUACAUGCAAGACGAGCGGUAAAUAUUUCAGCAAUGAGAUAUGAGAGCGUCGUAAGGGUGCGUAACACGUAUGCAAUCUGCCCUCAACUGGGGUAUAGCUCGGUGAAAACCGGAUUAACCCCCCAUAAGAUCAUAGACUGGCAUCAGUUAGUGAUUAAAUCUCCGGAGGUUGAGGAUGAGCAUGCGGAUGAUUAGCUAGUUGGUAGUGUAACGGACUACCAAGGCGAUGAUCAAUAGGGGAACUGAGAGGUUGAUCCCCCACACUGGCACUGAGAUACGGGCCAGACUCCUACGGGAGGCAGCAGUAGGGAAUAUUGGACAAUGGGUGCAAGCCUGAUCCAGCCAUGCCGCGUGCAGGAAGAAGGCUUUCUGAGUUGUAAACUGCUUUUGCCAGGGGAUAAAAUACGGAUGCGUCCGGAAUUGAAGGUACCUGGUGAAUAAGCCACGGCUAACUACGUGCCAGCCGCCGCGGUAAUAC